ACACCCUCAAGCUCAGCUUGGUGUUGGGCGUCUGUCCCGCCUCCGCGCGCGGACUCGCCCCAAAGGCAUUGGCAGCGGUCCUUUGCACCUCUCGCGCAGCACAUUGCGCUUCUCGGGGUGACGCGGGCCGCGACCAAAAAGUCAACACAUCGU
rnacentral:misc_RNA from 1 species